rnacentral:rRNA from 1 species
GGGGAAUAUUGGGCAAUGGGGGAAACCCUGACCCAGCAACGCCGCGUGAAGGAAGAAGGCCUUCGGGUUGUAAACUUCUUUUACCAGGGACGAAGGACGUGACGGUACCUGGAGAAAAAGCAACGGCUAACUACGUGCCAGCAGCCGCGGUAAUACGUAGGUUGCAAGCGUUGUCCGGAUUUACUGGGUGUAAAGGGCGUGUAGGCGGAGAUGCAAGUUGGGAGUGAAAUCCAUGGGCUCAACCCAUGAACUGCUCUCAAAACUGUAUCCCUUGAGUAUCGGAGAGGCAAGCGGAAUUCCUAGUGUAGCGGUGAAAUGCGUAGAUAUUAGGAGGAACACCAGUGGCGAAGGCGGCUUGCUGGACGACAACUGACGCUGAGGCGCGAAAGCGUGGGGAGCAAACAGGAUUAGAUACCCUGGUAGUCCACGCUGUAAACGAUGAAUACUAGGUGUGGGAGGACUGACCCCUUCCGUGCCGCAGUUAACACAAUAAGUAUUCCACCUGGGGAGUACGACCGCAAGGUUGAAACUCAAAGGAAUUGACGGGGGCCCGCACAAGCAGUGGAUUAUGUGGUUUAAUUCGACGCAACGCGAAGAACCUUACCAGGAUUUGACAUCCAACUAACGAAGUAGAGAUACAUCAGGUACCCUUCGGGGGAAGUUGAGACAGGUGGUGCAUGGUUGUCGUCAGCUCGUGUCGUGAGAUGUUGGGUUAAGUCCCGCAACGAGCGCAACCCCUAUUGUUAGUUGCUACGAAAGAGCACUCUAGCGAGACUGCCGUUGACAAAACGGAGGAAGGCGGGGACGACGUCAAAUCAUCAUGCCCCUUAUGUCCUGGGCUACACACGUAAUACAAUGGCGGUCAACAGAGGGAAGCAAAGCCGCGAGGUGGAGCAAAUCCCUAAAAGCCGUCUCAGUUCGGAUUGCAGGCUGCAACUCGCCUGCAUGAAGCUGGAAUUGCUAGUAAUCGCGGAUCAGCAUGCCGCGGUGAAUACGUUCCCG